CCUUCCACCAUGGCUUCUUCCAUCAUGAAUAAUGGGAGUGACUCAUCUUUCUUCUUUCCUCCAUGAUGGCGACCAUGGCGACCGUUAAGUAAACCUGUUGCGAGAUGUUGAGCGCAUUUUGGAUUGUUUAGAUUAGACAGUCAUAAAAAUUUUUGAACAGCAAAACUGUUGCAUUAUGCUGAACGCAAAAAAGUAGUCAACGUUACUGGUUGAAUAGUCCAUAUUGAGCGCUUCCUGUCCAAUGGCUCUUGUUAACUGAUAUCAAACUGUUAUUUUCAACAUGGUAAGUCUGACUUUUGCAAACUGGCCUGCCCUACUAUCAGACCCUACUAUGCUGAAAUACAGUUUUGUAUUAUUUUGUAUUUGAGCCUGUAUUGAA